rnacentral:misc_RNA from 1 species
AUCUACUUUAUCGCGACCAUGGCGGAAUACACGCCGCCCGUGAUCUACAGUCUCGAUGAGCGCUCGAAGCUGGUCUAUCUGAUCCAGGCGCGGCCGAACAAACCGGAUAGCCUGCGCGUCGGUCAGCCGGUCAGCAUCUUCACAGAUGGCAAGACGCCGUGAGCACCGACACCGCACAAUCCGAUAUCGCGAUCGAGGUCCACGGCCUGUCGAAAUCGUUCAACGGCCGUGAGGUGGUGCACGAUCUGUCGAUGCAGGUGAAGC